rnacentral:misc_RNA from 1 species
AGCAGCCGCGGUAAUUCCAGCUCCAAUAGCGUAUAUUAAAGUUGUUGCAGUUAAAAAGCUCGUAGUUGAAUUUCGGGAUCAAUAUGUCGGUCGUGCCUUGGUACGUACUGGUAUCAUUGGUCUCUCCUUUCUGACGAACCAUGAUGUCAUUAAUUUGGUGUUAUGGGAAGUUAGGACUGUUACUUUGAAAAAAUUAGAGUGUUUAAAGCAGGCUUUAGCUUGAAUACAUUAGCAUGGAAUAAUGAAAUAGGACGUUCGAACCUAUUUUGUUGGUUUCUAGGAUCAACGUAAUGAUUAAUAGGGAUAGUUGGGGGCAUUAGUAUUCAAUUGUCAGAGGUGAAAUUCUUGGAUUUAUUGAAGACUAACUACUGCGAAAGCAUUUGCCAAGGAUGUUUUCAUUAAUCAAGAACGAAAGUUAGGGAUCGAAGACGAUCAGAUACCGUCGUAGUCUUAACCAU